AUCUGGCUUAGUUAGGAGGCAGAAAUUGAUUUGAUCUUUUCAAUUUGAUCUUCUGAGAGGCCCUUUUGAGUGGAAUGUUUGAAUGCUUUUCCAUCAACUUUCCUCUAAGGUUCCUUAGACAUCA